UACGAAGGGGGCUAGCGUUGCUCGGAAUCACUGGGCGUAAAGGGUGCGUAGGCGGGUCUUUAAGUCAGGGGGGAAAUCCUGGAGCUCAACUCCAGAACUGCCUUUGAUACUGAAGAUCUUGAGUUCGGGAGAGGUGAGUGGAACUGCGAGUGUAGAGGUGAAAUUCGUAGAUAUUCGCAAGAACACCAGUGGCGAAGGCGGCUCACUGGCCCGAUACUGACGCUGAUGCACGAAAGCGUGGGGAGCGAACAGG
rnacentral:rRNA from 1 species